UGAUGCAGCAACGCCGCGUGAGCGAUGAAGGCCUUCGGGUCGUAAAGCUCUGUCCUCAAGGAAGAUAAUGACGGUACUUGAGGAGGAAGCCCCGGCUAACUACGUGCCAGCAGCCGCGGUAAUACGUAGGGGGCUAGCGUUAUCCGGAAUUACUGGGCGUAAAGGGUGCGUAGGUGGUUUUUUAAGUCAGAAGUGAAAGGCUACGGCUCAACCGUAGUAAGCUUUUGAAACUAGAGAACUUGAGUGCAGGAGAGGAGAGUAGAAUUCCUAGUGUAGCGGUGAAAUGCGUAGAUAUUAGGAGGAAUACCAGUAGCGAAGGCGGCUCUCUGGACUGUAACUGACACUGAGGCACGAAAGCGUGGGGAGCAAACAGGAUUAGAUACCCCGGUAG
rnacentral:rRNA from 1 species